rfam:Trichobilharzia regenti genome assembly, scaffold: TRE_scaffold0078711
GUACUGCUGAAGAGUCCCGAACCAGGACGAAACAGCUGUCCAGUAC